rnacentral:rRNA from 1 species
CGACUUAUCUCCCUUUAUUAGGAAGAGCGACGGGCGAUGUGUACACAUCUCAGAGCUUUUUUCAACUUAUUUUAAUGAAAUAAGUUUACUUCCAAAUCCACCUUAAGUUAGUUUUUCAUUUUCCUUCCGUAUAAUUUAUAAUUAAUGUAACCCAUCUCCUCCCUUUCAUGAGCUGCACCUUGACCUGAAGUUACUAAAACAAUUAAUUUGGAUGAUAUCUUUUAAGAAUCAUCUGGCAACGGCGGUAUACAAACUUUAUAAAAAAGGGUGAGGUUAAACGUGGACUAUCGAUUAAGGGACAGGUUCCUCUGGUAAGGGUGAGAUGCCGUCAAAUUCUUUGGGUUUGAAGAGUAUCUUUUACUACCCUGGCAAUUAAAGGUAAGAAUAGUAGGG